GUCGAGCGAGCGGAACCACAGAUUUACUUCGGUAAUGACGUUGGGAAAGCGAGCGGCGGAUGGGUGAGUAACACGUGGGGAACCUGCCCCUAAGUCUGGGAUACCAUUUGGAAACAGGUGCUAAUACCGGAUAAUAAAGCGGAUCGCAUGAUCAGCUUUUGAAAGGCGGCGUAAGCUGUCGCUAAGGGAUGGCCCCGCGGUGCAUUAGCUAGUUGGUAAGGUAACGGCUUACCAAGGCGACGAUGCAUAGCCGAGUUGAGAGACUGAUCGGCCACAUUGGGACUGAGACACGGCCCAAACUCCUAUGGGAGGCAGCAGUAGGGAAUCUUCCACAAUGGACGCAAGUCUGAUGGAGCAACGCCGCGUGAGUGAAGAAGGUUUUCGGAUCGUAAAGCUCUGUUGUUGGUGAAGAAGGAUAGAGGUAGUAACUGGCCUUUAUUUGACGGUAAUCAACCAGAAAGUCACGGCUAACUACGUGCCAGCAGCCGCGGUAAUACGUAGGUGGCAAGCGUUGUCCGGAUUUAUUGGGCGUAAAGCGAGCGCAGGCGGAAAAAUAAGUCUAAUGUGAAAGCCCUCGGCUUAACCGAGGAACUGCAUCGGAAACUGUUUUUCUUGAGUGCAGAAGAGGAGAGUGGAACUCCAUGUGUAGCGGUGGAAUGCGUAGAUAUAUGGAAGAACACCAGUGGCGAAGGCGGCUCUCUGGUCUGCAACUGACGCUGAGGCUCGAAAGCAUGGGUAGCGAACAGGAUUAGAUACCCUGGUAGUCCAUGCCGUAAACGAUGAGUGCUAAGUGUUGGAGGGUUUCCGCCCUUCAGUGCUG
rnacentral:rRNA from 1 species